AACAGGCUUAUCUCCCCCAAGAGUCCACAUCGACGGGGAGGUUUGGCACCUCGAUGUCGGCUCAUCACAUCCUGGGGCUGUAGUAGGUCCCAAGGGGUGGGGUGUAGGCCCAUUAACGUGGGACGCGAGCUGGGUUCAGAACGUCGUGGGACAGUUCGGUCCCUAUCCGUCGCAGGCGUAGGAAAUUUGAGAAGACCUGUCCUUAGUACGAGAGGACCGGGAUGGACGUACCUCUGGUGUACCAGUUGUCCUGCCAAGGGCAUGGCUGGGUAGCUAUGUACGGAAUGGAUAAGCGCUGAAAGCAUCUAAGCGCGAAGCCAACUUCAAGAUAAGAUUUCCCACCGCAAGGGUAAGACCCCAGAAAGACUAUCUGGUUG
rnacentral:rRNA from 1 species